AGGAAGCUCAUUUUUCAGUUUUUAGAUACAACGUUUGACUCAUCAUCUUUAAAAGAAAUUAUGAUUAAUAUAGUUGUUGUUAUUAGAUGAUAAAACAUGAAUAAUAUUUUAUGUGUGACUUUUUCUAAUAUUUUCAUAAACUUUUUAAAUAAGACGAACGGUUAAACGUUUGACACAUAAAUCUAAAAAUAAACUUAUU
rfam:Oryza glaberrima chromosome 4 Oglab04_0087_10, whole genome shotgun sequence.